GGAAUCUGUAAUUACCACUUAUUGACUCAUGACCAGCUAGAGUCUUUUUGAUUGGGUUAAACGUAUUUUAAUACUUUAAUUUUCUUUCUCUUCCCUUUUCCUUUUUUUCUGUUUCCUCCAUUAUGUUCAUAGGGUGAAUUUAUGGGAAUUAGCUUAACACUUUGUUUGGUUUAGAGGGUACAGAAUAUAGAAGGUCAGGAUAGAACUAUAUAAGAAUGGACCCUCAGAGAUCUUGGAGCUGGGUACAGGACCUGGUGAGACCCUGGGUCUUUGGAUACUCUUCAUACUGUGGGCAUAAGGUGAUAUGUUAUUGAUUAAAUGAGGGAUAUUAUGUUAAGCAGCAAUAUUUUAAAAAGCAGAAGCAUGGGAAUAAGGAUGCAAGUUGAUAUUUAAAAGCUAAAAU
rnacentral:lncRNA from 1 species